rnacentral:rRNA from 1 species
AGCGAACGCUGGCGGCAGGCCUAACACAUGCAAGUCGAACGAACCUUUCGGGGUUAGUGGCGGACGGGUGAGUAACACGUGGGAACGUGCCUUUAGGUUCGGAAUAACUCAGGGAAACUUGUGCUAAUACCGAAUGUGCCCUUCGGGGGAAAGAUUUAUCGCCUUUAGAGCGGCCCGCGUCUGAUUAGCUAGUUGGUUGAGGUAAUGGCUCACCAAGGCGACGAUCAGUAGCUGGUCUGAGAGGAUGAUCAGCCACAUUGGGACUGAGACACGGCCCAAAAUCCUACGCGAGGGGGGAGUGGGGAAUCUUGCGCAAUGGGCGAAAGGCUGACGCAGCCAUGCCGCGUGAAUGAUGAAGGUCUUAGGAUUGUAAAAUUCUUUCACCGGGGACGAUAAUGACGGUACCCGGAGAAGAAGCCCCGGCUAACUUCGUG